CACGGGGAUGUGACACGGGGAUGUGACACGGGGACGCGGCGGAGAUGGCACCGGGAUGUGACACGGACACGGAAGAGAGAUGGCACCGGGAUGUGACACGGGGACACGGAAGAGAGGUGGCACCGGGAUGUGACACGGGGAUGGCACGGAGGUGGCACCAGCGUGCGACACGGGGACAGGGCAGAGAGGUGACGUGGAGGGAUGACACGGGGAUGGCACCAGGACGUGACACGGGGACGCGGCGCUGAAGGACGACACAGAGAGGUGGCCUGGGGACGCGGCGCGAGGGACGACGUGGAGCGGUGACGCAGAUGUGACUCGGGGACGCGGCACGGGUGUGACACGGAGGGACGUCGCGGGGACGCGGCACGGGGACGUGACGCGGAGGGACAACGCGGGGACGGGGCGGAAGCCCCCGGGGUGACGGUGGUGACGGUGGCCCUAGGGUGACGGCGGCCCCGGUGACGCGGGGUGACGGUGACGCGGGGCCGGCGCGAGACCGCGCAGCGACAAUCAGGGCCGGGGUGCGGGGCCACCUCGCGCGCGGUCCCCGCGCGUCCCCCGGCGUGGCGGCAGGGUUUGGCGCGUUGUGGGCGCGGGCGGCGGCUCCCCCUCGUUAUCGUCGUCAUUAUUAAUUAUUAUUAUUAUUAUUA